UUUUGGAGUGGAAAGGAGAAAGGAUGGAGGUUAAUUGACGGUAGGCGGAGGCGUCCUGGAGGCGGAGUUUGACUUCGACUUCCAUUAGGGGGAAAGGCCGAUGCGUUGAAGUUUGGAGGAGGGGUUAGGGUGGGAGCGAUCGAGGAGGUGGAGAAGGGAGGAAGAAGAGGUGGCGUUGGCGGUUGAGGGAGGAGGAGGAGAGGGUUUGCGGGAAUCUUCGAGUUCUUGCUUGUCCUCGAGCUUGACUUCGAUUUUGGAGGGUUUUCUUCUAAGCAUUUCCUUGGACUUCAAAAAGAGUUAGAAGAAUAAUGCGAUUAGGUUUACUGCAUUCUCUUGUUUCGAAU
rnacentral:lncRNA from 1 species